CACACCCACAGAAACGCACAGAAAGAGGAGACGGCGCCGAUAGAGCUGGUAGCCGCUGUUGCAGUCGAUGCUCGCAAAGAAGAGAGAGAGAGUGAGGGCGAUCGAGAUGAGAAGAAGUAGAGAAUGAGAAGACGCGAAGAUGAGGAGCCGUCCCGCACUGCCACUGCGUCGCCGUCAUUGUCACGCGAUGGAGGAGGAAGCCGUUGCCGUCGCCAUCGAGCACGAGAGAAAGAGAGAGGUUUGCAGUGGAGUGAGAAGGAGGUAGAGAUAGGCACGAUCGAGAAGGAAGCUCGCGACAGAGAUGAGACGGACCGUCGCCAUCACCGCUGGUGUGGUCGGAGUUGCCGUCGUCGUCGAUUGAAGGUACCACCGUCGUAGUGGAACAAACCCAGAGAGAGAUGAACAAGGCUCGAAGAGAGUGAGCGUCGCUCCUCUGCCGUUUCUGCUCAGCGUCGCUGCCGCCAGAGUUCAUCUCUGCCGCCGCCAUUGGAGAUGAACCCAGUUGUUCUCUUGCUGCCGGAGGUAUUGUUGUCACUGCUCUAGCUCAAUUAUGUAUCGUUACAGUUGCUGUUUGGCUCAAUUAUUUUAUGUCAUUGGGAUUUGCUUUAAAGUGUUUCUUGUGUCAUUAAAUCUCAAUUAUGUAUUCCUUGUGUCAUUUGUGUGUAAAUAGUUCAUCCUUUUCCACAUGUCGAUACUGUGUUUAUCUUUUAUUUUUCUUUUUGUGGGAUCACUACACACUAUUAUUUAUCUAAUGACUAAAAUUGGCAUGGUUCGUACAUACUCCUGUAUGACUCACUAGGAAGCAUUAUUACAACAAGAUUUCUUUAAGGUAUGAUUUAGUUGAUCGGCGGACUCCAACUGGCUUCUUUAAGAAGUAAAGAUUGAAGUAAGUUGCUUUGAUGAAUGAAUUUUGGCAUCAGGUUUAGCUUAGCGUGUUCACAUGAACGCUUUUGUCUCCGGAUGUUAGGAGGUCAUCAUGUUUAUCCAUCUUGGCAUCAUUUUAGUGCUAUGUUUGUGUUGUUCGAGAUGCUUGUUUAUAAGCUUCGAGAGGCGUUGGAUCAGACCCCUGAAGCCAUUUGAUCUCGCCACACUAAUCUUGAGAAUUGAGAGCUACAAUGAAGCCUGUCAAAAAUGAAGUGUUAAAAACAAAAAGAAGCUACUCAGAGGAUUUUAAGUACUUUGGUGCUGAGCUUUCAAAUGUUUAAGUGACUGAAACAAAAGUUCUCGAGCGUUGAGAAGAAAGAAUAGCAAUACCAGAAAUAAUCUAUCCUGGCA